AUAUAAAAAAUUAUACAUAUAUAUUUGUAAAUUUUAUUAUUUAAAAUAAGAAUAUUUUUAUUUAUUAUUAGUUAAGAAAAAUUUUUUUUUUGAUAGUUAAUUAGUACUGAGAAGGAAUUAUUAAAAUAAAGCAAGAAAAAUUUAUUUUUUGUACCUUGUGUAUCAGGGUUGAUUCAUAAAAAUUCUGGAUUGGAAUUUCCCGAAUUUAGAAGAUCUAUUUUAAUAUUAUAUUUAUUGUAAUAUAAAUAUUUAAAAUAUUAAGAUUGAAAUGAAAUGUUAUUCGUUUCUAAAUAUAUCUGGUUUUCUAGGAAACAAGUUUAAUUUGAUUUUUAAUAAAAAAAAAUUUAUUUUUAUAUUUUUUUAUUAAGAUAUUCUAUUUUAAGGGAUUAGCUUUAAAAUAAAUUUUUAAAAGAUUUUUGAAUUUUUAGAUAUUUAAUAUUAGAAAUGUAUAUUUUUUGUAGUUUUUUAUAAUUAAUCUAAAAUAAUAAAUUAUUUCUAUAAUCUUUAAUUUUUUUACUAGAAUUUUACAUUAAAUUUUUUUUGUAAGUGAUAAUUAUUAAAUUAGUAUAAUUUUAUCUUAUUUUGAAAAAAUUUUUAGGUUUUAUAAAGGAACUCGGCAACAAUAUUUUUUACCUGUUUAUUAAAAACAUGGCUUUUUGAUAAUAAUUUAAAGUCUAACCUGCCCACUGAAAUUUAAAUGGCCGCGGUAUUUUGACCGUGCAAAGGUAGCAUAAUAAUUAGUUCUUUAAUUAAGAGCUGGAAUGAAUGGUUGAAUAAAAAAAUAACUGUCUCUUUAAAAUUUUUAUAGAAUUUUAUUUUUAAGUAAGAAAGCUUAAAUUUUAUUGAAAGACGAGAAGACCCUAUAGAGUUUUAUAAAAAUUAUAAUUUUUUGUAUUAGUAUUUUUAAGUUAAAUUUGUAUUUUUAUUUGGUUGGGGUGAUCGAAAAAUUUAAUAAACUUUUUCUAUUUUUAACAUAAAUUAAUGAAUCUUUGAUCCGAUAUUUUUGAUUAUAAGAUUAAAUUACCUUAGGGAUAACAGCGUAAUUUUUUUUGAGAGUUCAAAUCGAAAAGAGAGUUUGCGACCUCGAUGUUGGAUUAAAAUUAAUUUUGGUGUAGAAGCUAAAAUUUUUAGGUCUGUUCGACCUUUAAAAUUUUACAUGAUCUGAGUUUAAACCGGUGUGAGCCAGGUUGGUUUCUAUCUUUAAUUUAUAUAAUACUUUAGUACGAGAGGACCAAGUAUUAAAUAAUUUAUUUUAUAAAGAUAAAGAAU
rnacentral:rRNA from 1 species